CCUGGGCCAUCAGAUACCYCAUGGGAGCACAUUUCUGUCUGCUAGUGGGGAGAUGCUCCAGCAGCAAGAUCCCAGGAACCCAGAAGCUGGAAGGACAAGCCCAUGCCGCUAGAAGAGCGACCAGGAACACGCUGCUCAUAAAAAGAGUAGCCAAGGACACUGAGAAGUGGAGUUAUGGUCAGUGAUACCUCUAUCAGUGAGACCUCAGGAUAGCACCUGGCUCACCAUCUUACGUUGCCUGAACCUGGGUCUGUUCUGAAGGAAAACGCCUUCUCAAAGUCGAAAGGAUAAAGCAGGUAUUCAUUUGGUACAUGAGUGUGUUCUGAAUUGGAGUCUCAUCCAUGAUCCAUGGAAGCAGUUUACGUUAGGCCAAGUUUUGCAUCUUGAACCCCGUUCCCUCUGGCAUCGUGAGGAUGCAAACAGAAGAUCGUGCCUGUGACACCAGCAGCUGUGAAACGACGAAAGCAAAGUAAGAACAUAUCCCAAAAAGCUUUGUACCCAGUUGGGCAAUUGGCCAGAGAAGUUAACAACCAUUCAGCGUAGCUGUGUGCUUGAGCAAACAGAAUCAUGUUUUGGACUGUGUCCGGCAGCUGAGUGUCUUGUAAAACUUAUUUUUUAUCUUUUUUUGGUUUGUUCUGGUUGGAAGCUAACAAACCAAAAUUAAGAGCUGUGGUUGACUUGCCUGUUUGCAUGUAUCUUGCAGAGUUAAAACACAUGCAAGUGUUGUGCUCUGGGCAUCACUGAAGACAGUGUGCUUCUUGGCUGCUGAAAAUCUGCAUUUUCAUACCUUAAAAGAGCAUUAAACAGGAAGCUAAGCAUCCUUCCUUGCCAAAGCAAAGUUUUUCUGUUGCUGGUCUCUGCUAUUUCCCUCCCUGUCUCUUGAUU